GACGAGUGGCCCAAGCGUUAGUCGGAAUCACUGGGCUUAAAGGGUGCGUAGGCGGAUGGGUAAGUGCUUUGUGAAAGCCCCGGGCUCAACCCGGGAACCGCAGGGCAUACUGCUUAUCUUGAGGAAGGUAGAGGCCGGCGGAACGAUAGGUGGAGCGGUGGAAUGCAUAGAGAUCUAUCGGAACGCCAAGGGUGAAGACAGCCGGCUGGGCCUUUCCUGACGCUGAGGAACGAAAGCGUGGGGAGCAAAAAGG
rnacentral:rRNA from 1 species